rnacentral:rRNA from 1 species
AAGCUCGUAGUUGAAUUUCGGGCCUGGCUGGACGGUCCGCCCUUCGGGUGAGUACUGUCUGUGGUCGGGUCCUACCUUCUGGCGAAGCGUCAUGGCCUUAACCGGCCGUGGCGGGGAACCAGGACUUUUACUGUGAAAAAAUUAGAGUGUUCAAAGCAGGCAAUCGCUUGGAUACAUUAGCAUGGAAUAAUGGAAUAGGACAAUGGUUCUAUUUGUUGGUUUCUAGGACCGUUGUAAUGAUUAAUAGGGAUAGUUGGGGGCAUUAGUAUUCAAUUGUCAGAGGUGAAAUUCUUGGAUUUAUUGAAGACUAACUACUGCGAAAGCAUUUGCCAAGGAUGUUUUCAUUAAUCAAGAACGAAAGUUAGGGGAUCGAAGACGAUCAGAUACCGUCGUAGUCUUAACCAUAAACUAUGCCGACUAGGAAUCGGGCGAUGUUGAAAAAAUGACGCGCUCGGCACCUCAUGGGAAACCAAAGUGUUUGGGUUCCGGGGGGAGUAUGGUCGCAAGGCUGAAACUUAAAGGAAUUGACGGAAGGGCACCACCAGGGGUGGAGCCUGCGGCUUAAUUUGACUCAACACGGGAAAA